CUACGGGGUGCUGCAGUGAGGAAUAUUGCACAAUGGGGGGAACCCUGAUGCAGCAACGCCGCGUGGAGGAUGACGCAUUUCGGUGUGUAAACUCCUUUUAUAUGUCAAGAAAAUGACGGUAGCAUAUGAAUAAGCACCGGCUAACUCCGUGCCAGCAGCCGCGGUAAUACGGAGGGUGCAAGCGUUACUCGGAAUCACUGGGCGUAAAGGACGCGUAGGCGGGUUGGAAAGUCAGGUGUGAAAUCCUACAGCUUAACUGUAGAACUGCACUUGAAACUUCUAACCUAGAGUAUGGGAGGGGGAGAUGGAAUUAGUGGUGUAGGGGUAAAAUCCGUAGAUAUCACUAGGAAUACCUAAAGCGAAGGCGAUCUCCUGGAACAUUACUGACGCUAAGGCGUGAAAGCGUGGGGAGCAAACAGAAUUAGAUACCCCGGUAGUC
rnacentral:rRNA from 1 species